GGAAGGAUCAUUACCGAGUGAGGGCCCUCUGGGUCCAACCUCCCACCCGUGUUUAUUUUACCUUGUUGCUUCGGCGGGCCCGCCUUAACUGGCCGCCGGGGGGCUUACGCCCCCGGGCCCGCGCCCGCCGAAGACACCCUCGAACUCUGUCUGAAGAUUGAAGUCUGAGUGAAAAUAUAAAUUAUUUAAAACUUUCAACAACGGAUCUCUUGGUUCCGGCAUCGAUGAAGAACGCAGCGAAAUGCGAUACGUAAUGUGAAUUGCAAAUUCAGUGAAUCAUCGAGUCUUUGAACGCACAUUGCGCCCCCUGGUAUUCCGGGGGGCAUGCCUGUCCGAGCGUCAUUGCUGCCCUCAAGCCCGGCUUGUGUGUUGGGCCCCGUCCCCCGAUCUCCGGGGGACGGGCCCGAAAGGCAGCGGCGGCACCGCGUCCGGUCCUCGAGCGUAUGGGGCUUUGUCACCCGCUCUGUAGGCCCGGCCGGCGCUUGCCGAUCAACCCAAAUUUUUAUCCAGGUUGACCUCGGAUCAGGU
rnacentral:rRNA from 1 species